rnacentral:rRNA from 1 species
CCUACGGGUGGCAGCAGUGAGGAAUAUUGGUCAAUGGCCGAGAGUCUGAACCAGCCAUGCCGCGUGAAGGAUGACGGCUCUAUGGGUUGUAAACUGCUUUUGUACAGGGGUAAACCUGGGUACGUGUCUUCAGCUGAAAGUACUGUACGAAUAAGGAUCGGCUAACUCCGUGCCAGCAGCCGCGGUAAUACGGAGGAUCCAAGCGUUAUCCGGAUUUAUUGGGGUUAAAGGGUGCGUAGGCGGAUUGAUAAGUCAGAGGUGAAAGGUGCAAGCUUAACCUGUGUAUGGCACCUGAUACUUGCGAGCUAGAAAGCGGUAGCGGUAGGGGGAAUUUAUGGUGUAGCGGUGAAAUGCUUAGAUAUCAGAAAGAACACCGAUUGCGAAGGCAGUUUACUAAGCCAUAAUUGACGCUGAGGCACGAAAGCGAGGGUAGCAAAUGGGAUUAGAUACCCGAGUAGUC